rnacentral:rRNA from 1 species
GACGAACGCUGGCGGCGUGCUUAACACAUGCAAGUCGAACGGAAAGGCCCUGCUUUUGUGGGGUGCUCGAGUGGCGAACGGGUGAGUAACACGUGAGUAACCUGCCCUUGACUUUGGGAUAACUUCAGGAAACUGGGGCUAAUACCGGAUAGGAGCUCCUGCUGCAUGGUGGGGGUUGGAAAGUUUCGGCGGUUGGGGAUGGACUCGCGGCUUAUCAGCUUGUUGGUGGGGUAGUGGCUUACCAAGGCUUUGACGGGUAGCCGGCCUGAGAGGGUGACCGGCAACAUUGGGACUGAGAUACGGACCAGACUCCAACGGGAGGCAGCAGUGGGGAAUAUUGCACAAUGGGCGGAAGCCUGAUGCAGCAACGCCGCGUGCGGGAUGACGGCCUUCGGGUUGUAAACCGAUUUCGCCUGUGACGAAGCGUGAGUGACGGUAAUGGGUAAAGAAGCACCGGCUAACUACGUG